CACGUCAGCGCACUUUGCUGAUGUGGCAGCAAAUCGCAUCCUAGAAGGCGCGAUUUGCUGCCACGUUAGCAUAGCGCGCUGACGUGG
rfam:Gossypium raimondii Chr04_contig_365, whole genome shotgun sequence.